rnacentral:lncRNA from 1 species
ACUCCAGGACAAUUCAGAUGUCAAAAGGAAAUUAAAAUGCAUUGCAUUUGUUUAUCUUUUUUGAGUUGACUGAGAAGACAGACAGUAGGGUGUAAGUUGUGAUUUUUACCAAGGUAUAUCAGCCUGGGUGUAAUCAGGAGAGGGAAACCAAAUAGGAAUUACAGCAGGGAAAGCUUAAUAGAAAUAUGGCCAGGUGUGGCGACUUACACCUAUAAUCCCAGCACUUUGGGAGGCCAAGGCGGGUGGAUCACCUGAGGUCAGGGGUUCAAGACCAGCCUGGCCAAAGGCAAAACCCUGUCUCUAAUAAACAUACUAUUAAAAAAAAAAAAAAUUAGCUGGGCAUGGUGGCACACAUCUAUAGUCACAGCUACUCUGGAGGCUGAGGCAGGAGAAUUGCUUGAACCCAGGAGGCAGAGGUUGCAGUGAGCUGGGAUCAUGCCACUGCAUUCCAGCUGGGGAGACAGAAUGAGACUCUGCCUCAAAAAAAAAAAAAAAAAAAAAAAAAAAAAAAAAGGCCAGGUGCCGCGGCUUACGCCUGUAAUCCCAGCACUUUGGGAGGCCGAGAUGGGGUUUCACCGUGUUCGCCAGGAUGGUCUCGAUCUCUUGACCUCGUGAUCCGCCCACCUCGGCCUCCCAAAGUGCUGGGAUUACAGGAAUGAGCCACCGCGCCGGGCCAACCAGCCCCCUUUUAUAUGUUUGAUCUCAUCUCCUACUCUCUGCUCUUGCCACUAUGGCUUCCAUGCUGUUCCUUGAACCCAGCAAGCACACGCCUUCUUAGAUCUUAGUACUUGGUGUUUCCUCUACCUGAAAAAUUUUUCCUCCAAGGUAGCUACUUAGCCUUCUUCCUCGCUUCCUUCAGUACUAGCUCAAAUGUCAGUAAGGCUUUCCCUGACCACCGUUUUUUCUUUUCUCUACCAUUUCACUAUCUGCCAUAUAUUUACUUGUCUUCCCCUUACUUAGAAUGUAAGCUCCAUGUAAAUAUGUUUUGCUCAUAAUCCCUAGCACUUAAGAGUUCCCAGCACACAGUAAGGUGCACAAUAAAUACUCCAAUGAAUAUAUAACAGACUUUGCAGCUAACCAGGAUAUCUUGAGGUCGGAGGCUGCUGUUGUUUCUCCAGGCUCCCUCCGGAUGCGCUGUUGCCAGCCAGCGUUACUCAUUUCAUUCCCUAGGCAACAGUGGGCUUGGUAGAACUCUCUUCUAAAUCUCUUUUUCAUAGAAUUUAAAUUAUAAAUUGGUCAUUUACUGUUGUCGCACAAUAUUGCGUUGCUGAAUUUUCCACUGAUUAUAUUCAUUUUAUUUCCUUCCAGAACUUGGUUUCUUGUUUCUCUGCUCACUGUCCACACCCAUUCCACUCCAAGGCUGGAAUAAUUCUCUUGGAAAAAAAAAGUAAUCGUUUUCUUUGUAUUUCAUUGAACAUUCCCUUUACAGUGUUGGGUAAACCUGAAACAAAAGGAAACAAAAGUCUAAUAAUUCGUAAUACUCAGGCCUACUGGAUACAUAACAUCAUAGGGUAGCUGAAGACUCUGAGGCCAGAGCUUUAG